rnacentral:lncRNA from 1 species
GAAGGCCAGAGGCCUGCACAGUCCCUGGGAGUGGGCUCAGGCUGUUGGGAUAGACAGUCUCAGUGUGGCCUAGGAGUUACACAGGCCCUGAGGCCAUAGGCACCUCCCUGUAGCCCCAAGCAUUCCUCAAGGGUGGAGGACCCAAAGCUGGAGCAGGACGACUGCAGGCUCGUAUCACGUGCAGACCCAGAGAGCAGAGCAUUAAGAAUUAUAAGUUUAAGGACUCAAGUAAGAUUUGCAGAUGUUGGAGCAGAGGACCCAGUGACAUCUCUGGAACUAUUUAAAGUGAACUAGUUAAGAAGUGAAAGAAGGAGCUGAGAGCAAGGAGAAGGACAAACUAAAGGAUUACCAGAGAAGGAGCAGUGAGACUGGGAUCCAGACUUCAUCAGCUAUACAUCAGAGUCACCAAUAACAGCAGAAUCUCUUAGAAGGUGGCAGGCACUGGUAUUUUUAAAAACUCGAAGUUGAUUGUGAUGUGCAGCGGGGUUCAGAGCCACGGGAUAAAGAAAUGAGGCUCAGCCUGUUUAGAGAAGAGCCAAAUGGCAUGGUGAUGAGCAGGAUGGACUUUUUAAAAUCUCCAAAUUGUUGUGGAAAGGCAGGGCGAGGGAGCACUAGAAAUGUACAAACCCUUGGGCCUGGCAACUCAACUUCCAGGAAGAUAUCCUACAGGUGUACACAUAACUGGAUAUGAGGAUACUGAUGGUAUUAUUAUUUGAAAUAGCACAAGAUGGUAUAAAACCUUAAAAGGCAAAGGUUAAAUGAAGUAUGUAUAGGUACACUAUUAAAUACUACACAAAUGUUCAAAAGAAUGAGCAGAUCUGUGGGUGCUCAUGUGGCACAGCCUUAAGAUAAAUUAACUUUAAAAAGGAGAGAGAACAGUAUAUAUGUUAUACUAUCAUUUUUGUAAAAAAGAAAAAAUGGGGAUAUAUGUGUUUGCAUAAUCAUAGACUAUCUAUGGAAAGACAUAAAAAUCUGGUAACCAUAGUUGCCGUAGUUAUCUUUGGGGAGGGGGAUUUAAGCAACUGGGGUUCAGAAGAAGGAGAAAGACUUUUCACCAUAUGCUGUUUCAUACUGCUUAAAUUUUUUUCAGUGUGCAGGGUAAAUGCAUUGCCUCUAACAUUAACUGAUC